rnacentral:rRNA from 1 species
UACGUAGGGUGCGGAGCGUUGUCCGGAAUUACGUUGGGCGUAAAGAGCUUGUAGGCGGUUUGUCGCGUCUGCUGUGAAAAUCCGGGGACGUCAACCCCGGACCUUGCAGUGGGUACGGGGCAGACUAGAGUGUGGUAGGGGAGAAUGAAGUCCCGGUGGUUAGCGGUGAAAUGCGCAGAUAUCGGGAGGAACACCGGUGGCGAAGGCGGCUCACUGGCCCGGAACUCGGACGCUGAGGCGCGAAAGCGUGGGGAGCAA